CUCCCCGUCUCCUUUUCUCCCCCCCUCUGUCUCUUUAUAUUACAAAUAAUGUCUCUGGAAUAAUACGUGACCUCACCCAGCUCGAAGUGCAGGAGCCAUGCCUUUAUUUCAAGGUAAGCUCUUGCUUUCGCUUGCUGCUGGUGGAGAUGGUGGAUGCGCUGCGCUCUCGCUCGCUUUCCAAAAGUAGGUAACGCCGGGUUUGCUUUUUGGCAUUGUUCGUCCCUACCUAGCGCAGGCAGCCAGGCGCUCGCUGCUACCUGUUGGGGGGACGGCGGGGGCUCUUGGCGUUUUCCAUGAUACUUCCAGGAGACAAUCCCCCCUCCCGCUGCUGUCAACUGGUGCUGCCUCCUUCCUUUUUCUCUCCUCCAGCAAUUUGGUCUCCGUGGACAUUUCCUCUCCUCCCUUCUCCCAAGGCUUUUGUUUUGUCUUCGCUGCCAGGGAUGCUCUGGGUUUUUUCUAUGCUGCUGCUUCGGGCAAGCCGUGGUUUGGAGACCUACUGGGAAAGGAGCCGGCGGCAGGGUGGAGAGAAAGAGUGAUGAACUGCAACAGCGCCAAAGAUGCUCGGAUUCAGCACGUGCUCCCUCAGCGCUCACACGCUCCCCGAGGCCAGCGCCCUGGCACCGGGCCGGGCGGCUGAGCUGGACGCCGGCUCCCAGCGCUACGUCCUGGCCCUGCCCGAGGAGGAGACGUGGCGCAAGCACCGGCUCGGCCUC
rnacentral:lncRNA from 1 species